CUUAACACAUGCAAGUCGAACGAUGAAGCCCUUCAGGGUGGAUUAUGGGCGAACGGGUGAGUAACACGUGGGCAAUCUGGCCUUCCCUCUGGGACAAGCCCUGGAAACGGGGUCUAAUACCGGAUACAACCCGCCGAGGCAUCUCACCGGGUGGAAAGCUCCGGCGGUGAAGGAUGAUCCCGCGGCCUAUCAUCUUGUUGGCGGGGUAACGGCCCACCGAGGCGACUACGGGAAGCCGGCCUGAGAGGGCGACCGGCCACACUGGGACUGAGACACGGCCCAAACUCCUACAGGAGGCAGCAGUGGGGAAUAUUGCACAAUGGGCGCAAGCCUGAUGCACCGACGCCGCGUGAGGGACGACGGCCUUCGGGUUGUAAACCUCUUUCACCAUGGAAGAAGCGCAAGUGACGGUACCUGCAAAAGAAUCGCCGGUUAACUACGUGCCAACAGCCGCGGUAAUACAUAUGGCGCAAGCGUUGUCCGGAAUUAUUGGGCGUAAAGAGCUCGUACGCGGUUUGUCACGUCGGGUGUGAAAGCCCGGGGCUUAACCCCGGGUCUGCAUCCCAUACGGGCAGGCUAGAGUGUGGUAUGGGAGAUCGGAAUUCCUGGUGUACCGGUGAAAUGCGCAAAUAUCAGGAGGAACACCGGUGGCGAAGGCGGAUCUCUGGACCAUUACUGACGCUGAGGAGCGAAAGCGUGGGGAGCGAACAGGAUUAGAUACCCUGGUAGUCCACGCCGUAACGUUGGGAACUAGGUGUUGGCGACAUUCCACGUCGUCGGUGCCGCAUCUAACGCAUUAAGUUCCCCGCCUGGGGAGUACGGCCGCAAGGCUAAAACUCAAAGGAAUUGACGGGGGCCCGCACAAGCAGCGGA
rnacentral:rRNA from 1 species